UAAGCUUCCACCUUAAACAAGAAAAAGACUAAACUAGAAGAUGAAAAUCAAAGCAAACAGAAGGAAGUAAGCAAUAGGGAUUUGAGCAAAAAUUGAUGACAUAAAAAAACAGACAAAAUACAGAGAAAAAUUCGUGAAACCAAAAGUUGGGUUUGUGCAGAGAUUUGUGAAAUUGACAGUCCUUUAGCUUGACUGACACAGAUCAUUAGAAUUAGGAAUGAUGGAGAGGAUAUCACUACUGACCCUAUAGAUUGGAUCAGGAAUGUUGCUGUUUGCUGCAUUGUACUUUCUUGAGGGGAGAGCUAUGAAGGAAAACAAAAUUCUCAUUGCACUUACAACUUAACAACACAGCAUUGACAUUUUGAUUCUCAUUGGCUUCACUGCUCAUAUCUGUGAGGUUUCCAGAAGAUCCCAUAGCAAUAUCAUUCAUUCCAAAUUUAUCUGUGGGCUACUCAGGGAACACUGUCUGUGGGUUAGCCCUGCUCUGCAAGGAGCAGUAAAAAUUAUAUAUAUAUAUAUAUUUUUUGAGACCUAGUCUUGCUCUAUCGCUCAGACUGGAGUGCAGUGGCGCGAUGUUGGCUCACUGCAACCUCUGCCUCCAGGGUUCAAGCGAUUCUCCUGCCUCAGCCUCCCGAGUAGCUGGGAUUACAGGCACGUGCCACCACAUACUACUAAUUUUUGUGUUUUUUUAGAGACAGGGUUUCACCACGUGGGCCAGGCUGGUCUCAAACUCCUGACCUCAGGUGAUCUGCCCUUGGCCUCCCAAAGUGCUGGGAUUACUGGCAUGAGCCACUGUGCCUGGCAACUGUUUGUAGCCAGUGGGGAAUUGUUUUAAUUUUGGGAAGCCUCUUGUAAUCAAAUCAUGUAUCAACAUUAAUCACAUGGUAAGUGCUCCAUGGUUUUCAUUCCUAAAGAUUCUAGGAUGUUUGACAUUUCUCUGCUUAACUUAUAGCAGAAAGGUAUUGGGUAUCAAGAAUGUUUGAACAGUUUCUCCUUUUUGGGAAUGAAGAUGAUAUUGGGCUAGAAUUGAGAUGUAUGAUUGAGAGAAUGUCCCUGAGGCCUGAGCAGUGUGCCCUUUUGGGUAUGGACAUUGGAAGAAUGUAGUGAAUUCUUAUAAUUUUAUGUUGCCUUGGCAUCCAUCUUGAAUAUAAAUUUAACUUUCUUGUACUAGAAGCAAGGCUUACUCACCUUUGCAUAGUUUCCAGUUCUACACCUCCUCCUCGUUCCUCAGUGUGGUUGGUCCAGAUAGCUGCCUUAUCCAACUGCCUCCUUUGGACCACUUCACCAUGGGACAGCUUGAUGCAAUCUACCUGACAAGCCCCUUGAACCCCACACCCCUUAUGGAGCCAGUGUCCACCUCCCAGUCACAGUGUGACCCUAGGGGACUCAUGCCUGCUUGCUUUAGACCCACCACUUAGAAGUCUCCAUAGCAAACCUGUUUGAAUAGUACCGUUGACUGAGUAAGGGCAUUGGCCCAUGUGUGUCUCUCUUUCUCUCUCCGUCUCUCUCACUCCCUGACCUCUGCAUGUGGACUCCCAGGCAUGCCAUGUACCCCUCAGGACCUGUAAGUAAUACUCUCUUUAUUUUUGUCUUAUAUCUCUUCUAAUCAUUGAAAGGGCGCUCUCUAUCUUGAAGAUACUAUAUUAAAUAAAAUGAGAACUUGACCCUAACACAGUUAGUGACAGGCUGAAACACGCUGAUUGCACUCUUUAUCUAUUUAGUGAUUUUUCUCAAGUUACUGCACACCAUGUAUUAUCAACAUAAUUGAUAUUAUAGAGUGGAAUUAUAAAACACUUUUGCCACAGAAAGUUCUAUUGGUCACAAUAGCAUACACUACUACGUGUAUGCUAUUCUGUGAUAAAAGAUGUAGAUGUGAUAAAAGCAUUUAUAAAAUAUAAAAACAUUUAUAAAAUAUCUGUCUUAGAAAUGUUAGCUAAAAUUAGUUUGGGAAAGUAUGUUUGAAAAUAGAAUUGUAAGCUACCACAUUUUGAUAAAUAUUUCUAAAUUUGUUUAUUAACUUAUCAGGAGACAACAGAGUGAAGUAAAGAAAACAGUAGCCUUGUAUCAGUAUGUUUUUAUUCGGAAGACAAACGCGUGUUUUAACUAUUGUAUGUUUUUGGCUUAACUUUUUUUGUAAAGUUAAAACUUUACACUUUUACAUGAAUCUGUAAUUUCAAGAUGUCUUAAUGGUUGACAGGGACAGGACAAUUGAAAACCUGUAAAUAUAUUUGGUAAAAUUUAUGAUGCAUUAUUUUGCAGAUGGCUUCAGAGAGUAUUAGCACAUCUGUUUGAGAUGUGCACAGUUUUACAUUUGUCCCUUAGGUAAUCAACAAGGCUGAGAUCAGUAAAUCACAUGUAAGCCACUGUAUAGUUAUAUGGCUAUUCUGAAUAGAGAUAUAUCAUUUUAUCAUGUCUAGACUUUCUGGUUAUAUUAAUGCUGUUGAAAAUGAUUUUGUAUUACAUGCUUUCUUCCAAAUCAUAGAUCAAGAUAUUUUAUUUAUGUAUGUCUUUUUAAUGAAGAGUGGUUAUAGGAUAGUCCUGAUUAUUGCACAUAAACAUUGCCUUUCACUAGAUUAUUGUUUGGGGGCAAAUUUUAGACUAUUGCUUUAAAAAAGAGUAGCUUAGUUUAAUCCACCCUUUCCAGAUAUUUAGAAAUUAUUGAAAUGUAUUGUUUUGUAAUGAUAGUCUUAAAAAAAUUGUUGAGCUAGAAACAUGUCCUUCACCAGUGGAAUCCUUAGAAGAUUUCCUUGGGCUUCACUGGGUGGUAAUAGACCAUGAUCAUAUUGCUCUGUAUAUAAUGGUGUAAAUUUUGUUUUAUAACACUUAGUCUUAAUAGAUUGGGAAUAUUUUAUCUUACUAAUGUAGUCAUUAGCUGGCCACUCUCUGCGUCCAUUGGACCUUACAGAGUAAAGGGAGGGCAGUGCGUAUUUGAAGCCUGUGUACGUGACACACAAAGGGCUUAGCAACAUCCGUGUUUUCCCAGCACAGGAUACCCAUACUUCCUGAAUGUUUCAUUGUUAAAUUAGAUUGUGUGUGUGUGUGUGUGUGUGUGUGUGUGUGUGGUUUAUAUGAACAUACAGAUGUGUGUAUUUUAGGUGCAUUUUUUUUUCUUUUUUUCUUUUAUGUCAAGUGAUGAUAGAGCCUAGAAGGGAAGCGAAACUGUCCAUGCCCUUGCCUUAACUUUCAAAUCUGAUAAAAACAACAUUUAUAAAAUAUCUGUCUUAGAAAUAUUAGCUAAAAUUAUAUUGGGGAAAGUAUGUUUGAAAAUAGAAUUGUAAGCCACUACAUCCUGAUAAAUAUUACUAAAUGUGUUUAUUGAUUUGUCAGGAAGCAAGAGAAUGAAUUAAAGAAAACUCCAGAGAAUGAGCUGACAACUUACUCCCUGGUCAGUGACUCUCCAUGCCUACCUGUGGUUUCUUGGACACCCUUGCAGAAGAUGACUUCCUGGGAACUCUUCUGAGAGUGAAUGUUAUCAGCAAAUUCCCAAAACAACACCCCUUAGACAAAAAGCCUCCUCACCUAUGCAUUGCCUAGGCCACCCACUAAAGGUGAUGGCCACAAAGAGGUGGAUUUGUUGAGUUGGUGCCAUUCCUUCUACUGCCAGCUUCACCAAAACAAUGAUUCAGUCUUCCUUAUGCAUGGGGACUCUUCUCUUUCCUGUGUUGCAGUGGAUACCUCCUGCAGAUAAGAAAUGCUUAACUGAGAAAUGCUCAUGUUGGGAUAUCAUCGAUGAGACUUUAAUUGGGGCAUGGUGACUGUUUCCCUUGCUGCCACUUGACUCAAUCCCAGGAGCCUCAGUAGAGGAUAAAAUAUUACACAAGAUGCUCAAAAUGGUGGAAUUGCUCAGUGCUCCCAUAAAUAUACAUUUAUAAUUUUCAUUUGCCACAUGAUACACUGAAAAAUACAGAAUAUAUUAAAAAGAAACUCUGCAUGAUUUUUUUCAAAAAUUCAAAGCAUAUUUAAAUAAUAUAUAAAUUAAAUGCCCUCCUCUCUUCCAAUUCUGUCCCUAUAGUUUUUCUCUAUUAAGUGAACUACAUGCAUUCUUUUAGUGGAUAGAUGCACACGAAUACACAAGCCAUUUUGGGGAAGGAUCCAGGAGUGUGGCCAUAUUGUAACACAUUUUUCUGCAAAUUACCUCUUUCAUUUAACAGCCCUCAUUCAAUGGCCUUUUUCUUUUUCAGUAAUACAUACACAUCUGUGUCAUUUGUUGAAUGACGACAUGAAUGUUUUGUAGAUGAAAUAUAAUUAAAUGUUUUAAGCAUUUCUCACUCAUAGAUAUUUAUGUUAGCACCAAAUUUCUGUGCAAUGAACCUCCCUAUAUAUCAAUAAUUUUGCAUUUGUCUAUAAUAUCAUAAUAAAUUACUUAUCAGUUGAAUUACUGGGAUUAAGUAUGUGCACACUUCAUAUUUUGAAAAUUAUUGCAAGUUUGCCUUCAAAAAUGUGGUUAACAACUUUAUCCUCCAAUGGCAAUGAAUGAGAUUGCCAGCUUUCCUACAACCUCACAGACAAUGGAUUUUAUAAAUAUUUAAAAUUUUUGCCAAUGUGAUCACCCAAACUAUUGUCUUAAAUUGUAUUUCUUUUGUUUUUGAGUUUGGUCAUUUUUUCAUGUUUGUUAGCCAUCUGUAUUUUUUAAUUUCUUCUUUAUGUCCAAUUUUGUGGGUGGGAGGAGGAUUUAGUCUCUUCCUGAUUUCGAAGAGCUCAUUUACUAUUUCGGGAAAUAAGAUUUGGAUUGUCAACCAUUACAGCUCUUUUUUACACACUUUUUAACUUUGUUUUUGUUAUAAGAAUGUGUAUGAUUGUUAUAUGUCCAAGUAUAACCAUGUUCGCUUUUAUGGCUUCUGAGUUUCAUGUCAUUUUUGGAAAGAUAUAUAUACUGAGUCCAUAAAACCCUUCACCUAUGUUAAAUUCUAAUUCUUUUGUGUUUUUUUAAUUCAAAUUCUUAAAUCAUGAGAAAUUUUUUUGUUUUGAAAUCUUAAAGUUGCCAAGUUACUUGCCAUUACUUGCGAUUAUUUGCCAAUAAUUGCCCAUUUAUCUGUACUGCCAUCUUGCGCAUAUGCUGUACUCUCAUCUGUGACUGGCUCCAUUUUUGUUCUGUGGAUUUGUGUGUCUCUUCUUCUGCCUCCUGUCUCAUGUGUCUUCUCGUUGGAAGAAAUUACAGUUUAGACUGCAAUUUCAUCAACUUUAAUAAAUCAAUUGAGGGGAGAAUGGUUUUUAAAAAUAUUAAGUUAAGUCUUCGUAUCCAAGGACAAGGUAUGUCUUUUCGUAUUCAAUAAUUUUAAUUACUGUUAAUAUUUUCACUCUGGUGAUGGGAGUUUUUCUUUUAAUUUGCUUUCUUGUUCAUUUUUUGUAUCUAAAGUUUUUGUUUUGUUUUGUUUUGUUUUGGGGGUAAGUGGUCACCUUACUGUUUCUUGUUGCUUUUCAGAUUUUUUCAAAGUAUAGACUAAAUCCUUUGCAAAUAUUUAAAGUUUUUAUUUCCCCCCUUCAUAUUGAUCCUGAUAUUAGUUAUGUUGACAAAGUCCACAGACUGUUACUAUCAGAACACUUGAACAGUUAUGGAAAUAUUACCCACCCUUGAUUUAAUCAGGGUUUAAUGGUAUGCUUCUUUGGUUUGACUGGCACAUUGUUGCUGGUCAUUUUCUCCCAAAGACCACCAGAAAGAGCUAUGAUCAAGCAAAGCUGAGUUUGUUAAACUUACCUGCAGCAAGGGAAAACACCACCUUGAUAGGAUUUAAUAAUGUUUCAAAAUCAAGAAAGGCUUUGGGGUCUGGGCAGGGAACUAAUUAGAAAUGGGCAAAAUUUGUCAUGCAAUACUUUAAGAUUGGUGGGAAAGUGAGAUGAGGUUCUUAAUGUGAGGAUUGAUGGUCAAAUCAUUUUCUAGGUGAGCUGUUUGCCUGUAGAAAUAUGUUAUCAAUGAUAGAAGAACUAUUUGCCUAGAUAAGCAAACUGAAUUUAUUUAUUGGUUUACAGUUUUAUCUUGCUGGGCAGGACUCUGCUGGGGGUGGUAUCAGGUCUUAUUCCCAAUAGGUAAGUUAUUUUGAUGUGGGUGGUCUUAAUCAUCAAUGUGUGAAAUGCUGAUUUUUAAGUGCGAAAUACUUUGUCUACUAUGUUAGGAAAGUCUCCCACCUUUUAUAUUUUGUAAGGAAUUUUAAUCAAAACCAGGUGGUAGAUAUAAUCAAAUUUUUUUUGCAGAAUCUGUGUUACUGUUCUUUUUAAAGACUUUUCUCACUAUGAAUUAAUUUACUGUUAUUGCAACUUCCUUUUAUUCCUUGAAUGAACAGACCCUACUGGUUUUAAAAAUGUUUUAUUCUUUUAAUUUACUACUUAAUCGUGGGUAUUUUAAUUUGAUUUGGAAUUUUUACAAGUAUACAACUAAGUGAAAUUGACCUGUGAUUUUUCUUUUUUGUGCUAUUUUUGUCAUGUUUUGAUAUCAGAUACUCUGGUUGUGUUAAUCAUUUUGAGGAUUUUCUGAUACUGUGUUCUAGAGUGGGUGGAAAAGCUCUUAUCUCACUAUCAGUGUUUAAGUGAACACAUCAGUGAAAUCAUCUGGAUUCUCCUUUGUUUUUGGUGGUUUGGAGUUAGAAGAGAGGCUAUCUAGAAGUUUUUUUUUUUUUUCUUUUCCUUUUUUUGUAUGGUUAUUGCUUGUUCUUUGUUUUGUGUCUUAAAUUUAACCUGUGUUAUCUUAGCAAAUCACAGUUCAUACAGAUUUUCAAACACAUUAGCAUUAAGGUAUACAGUGUUCUUUCAUCAUUCUAUUACAUUUCUCUUGUUUCAAUUAUGUAUUCAUUUUCAUUCCAGUUAUAGUUAUUUCUGCCACGCCUUUGUUAAUGAAUAAGUUUAACUAGUGGAUGUUUAGCAUCACUAGCCUUCCCCUUCCCUCUCCCUCAAUCAGGUCUUUGGUAUAAUUUAUCAGGUAUUUUUUAAGGUUCUAAUUUACUUGUAUAUAUUGGUUCUGUAUUCUUUUAUUUCUUUUCCUAAUAAAUUCUUAAACAUGUGUAA